ACAGUUUUGGCUGAUUGACGUCUCUGACAAAAUCGAAUGUACGCGCGCCAAAAGUGUUUUUGGUUUUUUCGCUUCUACAGUUUCCUUUUCGUUUUCGGGAUUAUUGAAAUUAAAACUGUUAUCUGGUUCUACAAUUAAUUUAUAUCCCGUCUAAAGCAUCCGUAAAUUCCUCACAAUGUUGAUUUGAUUAAAUCACAAGUUAUUGACACCGAUAGAGAACUAUUUAUAUACCGUCAAGGGGCGGAAAGGGAAAUUGGAGCAGCACAGGAUCGGCAGCCGAGGAAAAACGGUGACCGCGAAAUAGCCUAUCACAAAAUGUUGAGAAUGAACCUUGUGCCCCCUAGUUGGCAAAAACCUAAGGAACCGGAGCGGGAGCAAAACAAGGCACUUUCCGCUGAAAACUUCUACGUGACCUUCCUGGAACGAUCGGCUAAUCCGAAACAAGCACCAAUUACGUCUCAGCAAAAUAGCCCGCUUAUACUGAACCCCAGGCUGAACUUUUCCAUAGCCUGCCGGAAAUUAUUCACUUGCACACCAUCCAUGAGUAUUCGGAGGAAUUUGUUACUGGAACGUUACGCUCAUAUGUAAUUCUCCAUGCUGGCCACAAAAGAACUGCCGGAGCAGAAAAACAUGCGAUUAUCAAACAUGUAUUAGUCCCUGCCAUGAGCUCGCCCAGCUCUACGGCGAACCCAGUAUCCAGAAGGUAGCUAAAGCUGGAAGGGUACGAAGGGCAGGGCAUGUUGCAAGAA